rnacentral:lncRNA from 1 species
GGAAAUGCUUCUUCCUCACUGUUUUUCACUUGCAGGUUCUUUCCUUAGGGUUCCUUUUUCCUUUCCAAAAGGAGAUUUUGGGGAUCGAGGCACUUGAAGAAAGAGUGAAGCCAGCUCUUUCCAGCAGUGCGGGCAGUCCCUGUGGAGAGGACCCCGGGAACUUGAGCUUCCUCGGAGACGUUCCCCAGCAUGUCUCAGCAGGGAGACGGACGCAGUUCCCAUCCCUGCUUUGCGCGCGGAAAGAAGCAGCGCGGCGCGGUUCCCUGUGCCAGGGAGCAGCACCCAGCAGGCUGCCAGAGAUCCAACAGCGCCUUGCAGCGCACAGAGGGACGCGAUGGGGACAGAGCGUCCUUACUGCCACGCAAAAGGACGGAGCCUGCGCGUCUGUGGAAUGGUGCUGGGCAAGGGGGGAAGCGGAAAGCCUCCGCAGAAGCUGAUGCCAGUGGCCUUCCUCUGAAGCGCAGCCUUGCAGAAAGGCAGGGGGAAGCUACAGACCAUGACAUGACACCCAAGAGAGGUACAGACACACAACAGGCAUCUGGGUUUGGUGCACCGUCUUUCUAACUAGGCUUUCUGUCUGUUCUUCCUGGGACUGUUCUGACUGCGUGUUGCUUGGGGUCUUAAUCCCCGGGACUUAUAGUUACCUUUCCUGUGCUGAUUUGAAAUACAAACCCACAGUUCACCCACGAUCCUAAGAUCCGUGACUGUGAACACUGCAGAUGAGAUGUGCUAGCACUGUGACCCAUUUUGCAGACUGAAAGCAGUACUGGACUCUUGUUAUAUCUUCUUGCUUCUUCUUUCUUGCCAGAGAUAGGUGCUGAGCCCAAUGGAAAGAUCUACAGGAAAGCGGUGCAGGAAGUCCUUUCUGAGAGAGCUCAUCUCCAGGCUGGAGGGCUUCCUACAACAGCAGGUCCCAGCUCAGGGAGAAGACCUUCCCCUGCAGCGUGCCCCCGCUCUGUCUCCAAGUCCCUGGCUGGAUGUAAACGCAAGGGCUUGGAAGAAGAGCAGCAAACAGCAGCACAGCUGCCUGCUAACAAAAGAGCGAGGGGUCAGAGCGGAGACAGCGUGCCGGCUCCAGCAGCACAGCCUGGGCCUGCUGCAGCACGGAGCUCCAAGCUGAGAGGUAAGAAGGUGCUGUGGUACCCGCCCUGUAGGGUAGGUGCUGCCCUUAUCAAGCACGCUGAAGUUGCAGAGGGUUUGCUUUGCUUUUUCCUUCUCUGCAGAGGGGAAAAGAGUUGAAGCCUACAAAGUCCAAAGGCAGUGAGGUGCCACAGGAUGUAACCCCGACUCUUUCCGUUAACUCCAUGGUGGUCUUCUGCACCUUUCCACUGGAAAUGUCAUUCACUGAGAGGCUUCCAUUUCCUUUGUCUUUUUUCUGCCAUCUGUUUUUAUGGUACCCAUGUUCCUGCAGUUUUGCUGCUGACAAGAUGAAUUCAGUUUUAUUCUUGCUUUAUAGCAAGAAGACAACGAAAAGAGAGAAGAGUGGAAUUGAAGAAGGCUUCUCUGAGAGCUGCUGCUGCACGUGCAGAGGUGAGUCCUUGGUGAACACAGACUCUUGUUGUUC